UACGUAGGGUGCGAGCGUUGUCCGGAAUUAUUGGGCGUAAAGAGCUCGUAGGCGGUUUGUCACGUCGGGUGUGAAAGCCCGGGGCUUAACCCCGGGUCUGCAUUCGAUACGGGCAGACUGGAGUGUGGUAGGGGAGAUCGGAAUUCCUGGUGUAGCGGUGAAAUGCGCAGAUAUCAGGAGGAACACCGGUGGCGAAGGCGGAUCUCUGGGCCAUUACUGACGCUGAGGAGCGAAAGCGUGGGGAGCGAACAGG
rnacentral:rRNA from 1 species